ACAGAGGUGCGGGUUUCAUGAGUAAUUCCGGGCAGGCUGCCAAGCCGCAGGACCCGGCAUGAAAGGGGAAUUCCGCCGAAGGCAGGCUGUACGGCAAACAGUUUGCCUGGUUUCAAAGCCGAAAGGUUCGAAACUGUCACCUUCUUCCCCGCAGGAAAGUGGAGCGCUGUCAG
rnacentral:ncRNA from 1 species